rnacentral:lncRNA from 1 species
GGUAGUCUCCAUCCCAACCUGGUUGUGCUUCUCUUGCACGCAGGCUCCCCUUCCUCUGCCAUUAUGGAAAAGUUCACCGAAGGCUGGAUUGGGUGGUCAUUAUGAGUGAAGGUUUUUGAGUCAGAUUGUCUCCUUUUUUUCCUUUCUUUUUUUGAGACAAGAUCUUGCUCUGUUUUGCCCAGUAAUUACAGUUUUUGCCAUCACUUAAUGGCAAAACUGCAAUUACUUUUGAACCAACCUAAUAAUUAG